GCGGGAUCUCGCUUAGGCGAGACCCCUCUCGCCUGGGCGAGUUGCCUGCUCGCUCAAAAUUUUGAGCGGGACGCCUGAGCGACCUCUCGCGCAAGUUGGCUUGGGCGAAUCCCUGUUUGUCUCGCCUAGGCGAGACUGGCUCGCUUAGGCGAGAUUAACAGGUCUCAUCAUUGUUUCACCUGCAACAACCAUGUAUUUCGAACCAACCAAGCAUACAAAGCAUUCAAGCACCCCAAACCGAAGGAUUCACCCAUACAAUCAGUAAUUAACUCAAAAACAGCCAAAACAACACCAAAAGACUGGAACCCCGACUUCCCGUACCUGGAAUGAGCUAGCAAAACAACCCGACACGAGCUUGACACUAAACAGCGGAACGUAGUCCUCAAGAGGCGACUCCCAGAGGUAAGAAGUGAAACGGGUUCGAACUGGCGUGCUCACGAUGGUCCCCGAACCCUAGCAGAGAUAGAAGACGGCUGCGGCUCUAAUGCAAGGAUGACAAUUUUCUGAAAUGUGAAGAAGUGAAAUGGUUAGGGCAGACCUAGUGGCUUUAUCUGUUGGACCGGCCUUAGGCCCACUUACAAGGGCAACCCACUAACUUUAAGACAAAAAUAAAAAGGGGACCUUACAUGUUCAGCCCAAAUCUAAUAGUGGUUCUCCUAGAAGUUGCACUAAAGUUGACAAGAAAGGGAUUGCACUUGGUAGGUCGGUGGACUUCACAAAAUUCAGUGCAUAUGAUGAAUUAAUUGCUGAAUCAGAUGAGCUAUUUGAAUUCGAAGGAGAAUUAACCUCUCCCCAAGAAGUUUAGCUUAUUGUGUACACUGGUAAUGAGGGCGAUAUGAUGUUUGUUGGUAAUGAUCCAUGGCGGGAUUUUGUUGCUAUGGUACGAAGUAUUUAUAUCUAUCCCAAAGAAAAGAUUCAAAAAAUGAGCCCGGGUACCUUAAGUUCAAAGAACUAAGACAAUCAAUCGGCUAGUGAAGGUGCAUACGAUCAAGAAGAAAAUAAAUGUCAGUUGAAUCAUUCAGCUUUAGAGGCCUGAUAGUUCGUAUAAAUUUUGAUUUCCAUAGCUUCUAGGUAACUUCAUAAUUCAUCGUGUUCCCCAUAUAUGGAUUUUGAAUCCAGUUUACUAGAAGAAUCUUACGGCAUAAAAUGUGUUGUCAUGUGAUACAGAUUCCCAACUGGAGUGUUACCUGAUGUAAAAAAAAAAUGUAUGUAAAUCUAA